rnacentral:lncRNA from 1 species
AUCAGUCACUGUGUAUUCCAUCUAUUCGGCUCAUCAGCCGACCCAAAACCUUGUGCAUUCUAUACAUUCGGCUCAUCUAGCCAAACCUGCUCUACAGUAAUUGUCUUCGAACUCGGCUAAUCCGAUCCCUCAUCAGCCGAAUCGCUUGAUCCAGUAGAAGGGCACAAACUUCGAGGGUCAUUAAUCGUAGCUGCUCCGCAUCCCUACACUAUUCCCGAGGGAGAUCUUUUACCAGGUUGAGGAUCAAGACGUUCGGCUCCCAACAAGGGGUUAUAUCUCUCUUUAUAAGAUACGAGAGAUUUUUAAAAACCCUAGCUAUUAUCUCUCUCAUUCUCUUUCUUCUUUUCUUCGAUCCUCUAGCAAGAAAGACGUCCUUUGUAAGGGAGCAAGCACCAUGGUGAGUGAAAGUUUUGAGGAGCCCAAGGAUCUAUUUAGAUUGUAUCUAUCACCUAGAGGGGGGUGAAUAGGUGUAACGGCCAAAAACCACAAAUCUCGAUGCAAUAAAAAUAAAUGCGGAAAAUAAAAAGCACACCGAGAUUUACGUGGAAAAACUCCAACUUGGAGAAAAACCCACGGGACCAACACGCGAAAAAAUAAUUCACUAAGAGAAAAGAUUACAAGGUGAUUACCGACUCCACGGACUUAACCUCUCUUAACCUCCUAUGAAUCUUCGCGCUACCCUCCGGGUUGUCCACGCCCUCACGUCCGAAUCCACGAACGCCUUCACUUCGAAUCCACGAAGCUCCAAUCACGCCGAAUCCACGACGCCACUCGAAUCCACGAGCCAACGAUCCGAAUCCACGAACCGCCUUUGUUCACGCCUAAUCCACGACGCCGUUCAUGAAGAAUAUCAUGAAU